rnacentral:rRNA from 1 species
GGUUGUAAAACCCCUUUCGCCAGGGACGAAGCGUAAGUGACGGUACCUGGAGAAGAAGCACCGGCCAACUACGUGCCAGCAGCCGCGGUAAUACGUAGGGUGCAAGCGUUGUCCGGAAUUAUUGGGCGUAAAGAGCUCGUAGGCGGUGUGUCACGUCUGCCGUGAAAACCUGCGGCUUAACCGUGGGCGUGCGGUGGAUACGGGCAUCACUUGAGUUCGGUAGGGGAGACUGGAAUUCCUGGUGUAGCGGUGGAAUGCGCAGAUAUCAGGAGGAACACCGGUGGCGAAGGCGGGUCUCUGGGCCGAUACUGACGCUGAGGAGCGAAAGCGUGGGGAGCGAACAGGAUUAGAUACCCUGGUAGUCCACGCCGUAAACGUUGGGCGCUAGGUGUGGGGCGCUGUUCACGUGUCCCGUGCCGUAGCUAACGCAUUAAGCGCCCCGCCUGGGGAGUACGGCCGCAAGGCUAAAACUCAAAGGAAUUGACGGGGGCCCGCACAAGCGGCGGAGCAUGUGGAUUAA